GACGAACGCUGGCGGCGUGCUUAACACAUGCAAGUCGAACGGAAAGGCCCUGCUUUUGUGGGGUGCUCGAGUGGCGAACGGGUGAGUAACACGUGAGUAACCUGCCCUUGACUUUGGGAUAACUUCAGGAAACUGGGGCUAAUACCGGAUAGGAGCUCCUGCUGCAUGGUGGGGGUUGGAAAGUUUCGGCGGUUGGGGAUGGACUCGCGGCUUAUCAGCUUGUUGGUGGGGUUGUGGCUUACCAAGGCUUUGACGGGUAGCCGGCCUGAGAGGGUGACCGGCCACAUUGGGACUGGGAUACGGCCCAGACUCCUACGGGAGGCAGCAGUGGGGAAUAUUGCACAAUGGGCGGAAGCCUGAUGCAGCAACGCCGCGUGCGGGAUGACGGCCUUCGGGUUGUAAACCGCUUUCGCCUGUGACGAAGCGGGAGUGACGGUAAUGGGUAAAGAAGCACCGGCUAACUACGUA
rnacentral:rRNA from 1 species